CCAUGUUCUCUGUCACUCUGAUGCUGCUGCUGUUAGCAGCUGGAUCAGGAGUUCGGUCUGAGACUCUGAGACAGUCAGCCUCUGUGUCUGUGCUGCCUGGUGAACGACUGCAGAUCACCUGUCAGGUCUCUUAUUCUGUUAGAACAUAUGUAACAGCCUGGAUCAGACAGCCUGCAGGAAAAGGACUGGAGUGGAUUGGUUACAUGUGCUCUGGAUGCACAGGAGCUCGCAAAGAUUCUUUAAAGAGCAAGUUCACUAUUACAGUACAAGAGUCCAGUAACACAGUGACUCUGAAUGGAGAGAAUCUGCAGCCUGAAGACUCUGCUGUGUAUUACUGUGCCAGAGAGUCACAGUGA